rnacentral:misc_RNA from 1 species
AAGGAUCAUUCACAAUAAGAGUGUUUAUGGCACUCUUUCAAAAAUCCAUACCCACCUUGUGUGCAAUGUAAAAGAGUUUGGCGAGAAGGAAGGGGGUUAUAUUGGCCUCCUUUCAGCGAACCAGACUUUUUCAUCAUAUAUACCUUUCUAUAAGUUCCUAUUGUCUGAAGUGAUAUGAAUUAACAUAAUUCUAAAUACAACUUUCAACAACGGAUCUCUUGGCUCUC